GCAGAGUGGACAGUGGGGACUCGGAGAUGGUCGACAGAUGUGGCGAGUAACGGGACAGCGGCGAAUGGAGCGGUCUACGCGAAUAACUUCAUGAAAUUCUGGUUGCUAGGCAACGUGGAUGCUUCCCUGGCGGUUUCUCUUUGACGAGUCGAACACGAAGAAAGUACGCUAAGCUGGUAUUUUAUCUGGAGAGGUUGAUUAACAACAGAAGGUAACAUCGAACAGUCAUGGAACAAGCUUUACCUACCGAAUGGCUCACCUGUAAGUGUAUCCUUCCGCGCCCACGCGUGCCUGCGGACUUCUUCCAGCUCGUGGGCUUCUACGGUCCGCGGACGACUUCCGGCCUGAACCACCGCCUGCGUUGCGCCUCUUCGCGUGAGCACCACCGGUGAACAUCAUUUUCCUCCUAUUCACCUACUUACUCUCUUUGCCUUCUGUCCACGCUAAUUCUUUUGUCAUUGAUGACAAUUCAUUCAAAUGCUUCAACGUCGAAAGAUAACACUGUUUCCCGCCUCGUGACGCUCGAAUUCCGGGGCACUUGGCCGCGUAAUGCCAGAAGAAUUCUCGUCCAUCGGCCAGCAACAUUUUCCUUUCUGUCCGCCACGAACAAGGCAUCGGUCACUUACAAUCGAUUAAAACUUACUGACUCCACCUUCGCGAAGAAACAGCGGGCAGAACACGCGUCACAUUGUUAGUGAAAUUAUAAUAGACUAUUCUCGACCAAAGAAAUGGGUCAUCAGAGGAAUUGUGACCUUGAUAAGUCAAGUCAACAAGAAACGAAGCAUAACCAUUAAAUCUUCUAAAUCUCGAUCAUCUCCUUUAUCGAGGAUUACACUGGACUCCUUAAUUGGUCAUUUUAAUUGUACCAACGGUAUCGUUACUCGUCUGAAUAAGUUCUGACAGUUGAUUGGCUUUUUCAGAUCCGAUGUCACAUUCGGCACUGUUCACUUACCACUGAUUUCAUCGUUUUUAACCUUUGUGCACCAAAUAAUAAUAAGAAGAAGAGCUACGAUUAUAAUUAAAAAGAUAUGGCUUCCAAGCGAGAAGGAAAAUCCCUGAGGUUGUCACAGAAAUUUUUGAAAGAAAAGGUUAGAAGACACCGAGUCUCUACUUCAGUCUCACUCUUCUCACCCUUGCGAAGAUCACAUGUUUUUGAUCAAAUGGAUGUAUGACUAAUACUCGAGAAAGAAAACGUUACAUCGACUAUGGAAGUGGAAGAUGUCUCUUCUUUUCAAUUUCCUCUUCUUUGGUCCAACGUUCCGAUGUGAUACAUCGUUUCAACAGGAAUGUGUCGCGACCAAAAGUAGUAUUAACGAUAUUCAAACGUCAGCUACACAGUUUGAUUGACUCCACACGAUAUUUGAAUGCUGUACUUUAGCAAGUCUCUCUCGUUUUCUGAAAAUAACGACUACUGACUGCUGUAAUUUAUGGAAUACAUACGAUCAAAUUGAAAACUAUGGAUCAUCGCGUGGAUGUUGACGAACAUAGGAACUGGAUUUUGACGCCUAAAACGUUGUGUAGCUUUGCACGAAACUCUCGAAUCUAUAAAUAUCAGCCUGUUGAAUACCGCCCGCCAUCGAGUCGAGUAGCGCCGCGUGCGGGAAAUAUUAGAAUACGCUAUCCGGCGCGUUUUCCAGCCUGGAAAAGCAAAUGGAUUCCAGAAAAAUUUCUGGACAGGUUAAAAAAAAAUAGUUCUAUAUUAGAUAAGAAAAGACUUGUACAUUUCAGACAAGCUUGACUUUGGUUACUUUUUUUUUUUUAAUAAAUUUGAAUAGUAUAAAAAAAGAAACACUAACGAUUGAUUUUUUUUAUGCAAACGAAUGUAUUUGUUCGAUGUGUAAUUAACGAUGUGUACAAUGAGUUCGUUUCCUUACAUAUCAAGUACAGAAAAACAAUAGCAAUAAUUCAUUAUUUGUAUCAUGAAUAAAAUUUUUUUCUACGUUAA